rnacentral:misc_RNA from 1 species
GUAAAAUUCAGUUUCUUCAUCCCAUCAAUAAUAGGUGGAUAUAAAAGGGUGGGGUUUAUAAAGUGUUUGAGUGGAGGCAAUGGAUUACGCAGUAAGUGACAAAACAAGCACAGUUGAGUUAUGCUUUUGCACACCAAUUCCAUUUUUAUUUGAUGAUUAAUACAAAUCAAAUCAAAUCACACCAACCCCUUAAUAAUAUACAAAUUCAAUUGGCUAAUCUUGUACUUCUCAGUACUUGCGAGAGUGGAGCAGGAAAAACGAGGAAAACAUGAAAAAUUUUGGAGACGUAUUGAGCAUACAUCGUAUGACUCAACUUUCAAGGUCUCCUGAUUGCUGAGGCGCCGUGAAUAGCUGCUAUGUAUAGAAGCUGUGUCGCUGAAAGGAUAAUCAGAAAUGCUUCCAUGGUUCUCUGCAGAAAGAGAAAACGUGUCAAAUUUGCAUUAAUUUGAAUAAAGUGCAGUUGAAUCUUAAAGUAAACUUGGAAUCAAAUUUGUCUCUCAUUGUUACCAGACGGGCAUUCCUGAUGUGGAGCUCGAUCUCUUUGCAGCCAAACCCCAUUGCGAGAAGAGUGAGAGUCCAAGCAAUGGUGGCAACUGAGGCUGCAGCUGGCAAGCUAUCAGCAUUCCAAGAACGGAUAUGGUUAAAACCAGCUAAUGCUGAAGCAGCACCAACAACUCCGGCAAUCAAAGCAAAUGUGACGAAGAAUCCGGUAGCAGCAUUUCCCAUUGGAAAAUAUAUGGGUGAGAAAUGCGCCGGAAGGUCAAAUCCAGGUCCUAUGAUGAAACCAUGAUCAAUAGCUCUAUUCAUAGCCCAACCACCAAUACCUAAGAUUAUGACAUACAUGCAGAAAUUCAAGACCAGAAGCAGAGAGGCAACAGGCUUCAGCUGGUUAUUGGCCAUUAAAUUUCUAUACUAGAUGAUAUGGCUUAUGAAAAGCUGUGGAAAGAGGAAAGAAUUACGAUUUUUUUUUCAGGACUCCAAAAGUUUAAUGCAGGAAAGUCUAAUAAUCAGGUAU